CGGAAGCGGGGAGAAAGGGCCCGAGAUUGCGUCGACGCGGAUCCCGAAAAGGGCGUCGAUCCGUCGCGACAGCGGGACGGUGGUCAUGGAAGUCGAAAUCCGCUAAGAAGCGUGUAAAAACGUACCCGCCCAACGGAUCGGCCCCGAAAAUUGAUGGCGCUCGAACGCAACCCUCGAACCCCGCCGACGGAGGCUAGGGGAGGCCCCGUCGAGUAGGCGGACGCGCGGGUCGCUUCGACGCUCUCGCGCGAGCGGGGGCGGAGCGGCCCGUGGUGCAGAUCUUGGUGGUAGUAGCGAUCACCCAGGCGAGAACCCUGAGGGCCGAAGUGGAGAAGGGUUUCUCGAGAACGGCACUCGCUCGAGAGUUAGUCGAUCCUAAGCUGCCGGCGGCAGCCACGAAACGGUCGAUCGGGCGCGAGCCCGGCAGCCACGACCGGGCAGCGAAGGGAAUUGGGAACCUCCUUCCCAACCCGGAACCGGAACGAGGCGGCGACGCGAACGAACGGACCGCGGAGACGGCGGCCGCGGCCCCGGAGACGAGUCUCUUUCUGUGCGACUGGACGUCGG
rnacentral:rRNA from 1 species